rnacentral:rRNA from 1 species
AGAGUUUGAUUAUGGCUCAGGAUGAACGCUAGCUACAGGCUUAACACAUGCAAGUCGAGGGGCAGCAUUGGGGUAGCAAUACUCAGAUGGCGACCGGCGCACGGGUGAGUAACACGUAUCCAACCUGCCGCUUACUCGGGGAUAGCCUUUCGAAAGAAAGAUUAAUACCCGAUGGUAUAAAGAGUUCGCAUGUUCUCUUUAUUAAAGAAUUUCGGUAAGCGAUGGGGAUGCGUUCCAUUAGAUUGUUGGCGGGGUAACGGCCCACCAAGUCUACGAUGGAUAGGGGUUCUGAGAGGAAGGUCCCCCACAUUGGAACUGAGACACGGUCCAAACUCCUACGGGAGGCAGCAGUGAGGAAUAUUGGUCAAUGGACGAGAGUCUGAACCAGCCAAGUAGCGUGAAGGAUGACUGCCCUAUGGGUUGUAAACUUCUUUUAUAAGGGAAUAAAGUGAGGGACGUGUCCCUUUUUGUAUGUACCUUAUGAAUAAGGAUCGGCUAACUCCGUGCCAGCCGCAGC